GCGCUCACUUCGGCAGCACAUAUACCACAAUUGGAGCGAUACAGAGGAUUAGCAUGGCCUUAGCAAGAAUGACACGCAAGUCUGUGAACUGCUCCAUGUUUUG
ensembl:snRNA U6 U6 spliceosomal RNA